GUCUCAGUAGCGUAGUGGUUAACGCGCGGUCCCGAUUAGGCGAGGGACGCGGGUUCGAGUCCCGCCUGUGUUG
rnacentral:tRNA from 1 species